GACGAACGCUGGCGGCGUGCCUAAUACAUGCAAGUCGAGCGGUCCCUUCGGGGAUAGCGGCGGACGGGUGAGUAACACGUAGGCAACCUGCCUGCAAGACCGGGAUAACCUUCGGAAACGGAUGCUAAUACCGGAUACACGAUUUUCCUGCAUGGGAGAAUCGGGAAAGACGGCGCAAGCUGUCACUUGCAGAUGGGCCUGCGGCGCAUUAGCUAGUUGGUGGGGUAACGGCUCACCAAGGCGACGAUGCGUAGCCGACCUGAGAGGGUGAUCGGCCACACUGGGACUGAGACACGGCCCAGACUCCUACGGGAGGCAGCAGUAGGGAAUCUUCCGCAAUGGACGAAAGUCUGACGGGCAACGCCGCGUGAGUGAGGAAGGCCUUCGGGUCGUAAAGCUCUGUUGCCAGGGAAGAACGUCGAAGAGAGUAACUGCUCUUCGAAUGACGGUACCUGAGAAGAAAGCCCCGGCUAACUACGUGCCAGCAGCCGCCGUAAAAC
rnacentral:rRNA from 1 species